CGAGGAGCCUCAGCACUUGUAUUCGUACUCGUGCAGGGGAUUUCCUAGUGGCGAACGGGUGAGUAUCGCGUUGGUGACCUGCCCCGAAGAGAGGAAUAACAGUUCGAAAGGACUGCUAAUACCUCAUGUGGUCAUGAGAUUUAGAAACUCAUGUCUAAAGGAGUAAUCCACUUUGGGAGGGACCUGCGUCCCAUCAGCUAGUUGGUAGGGUAACGGCCUACCAAGGCAACGACGGGUAGGGGACCUGAGAGGGUGGCCCCCCACAAUGGAACUGAAACACGGUCCAUACACCUACGGGUGGCAGCAGUAGGGAAUAUUGCACAAUGGGCGAAAGCCUGACGCAGCAACGUCGCGUGUGCGAUGAAGGCCUUCGGGUCGUAAAGCACUUUUUGAGAGGAUGAGAAAGGACAGUACUCUCAGAAUAAGUCUCGGCUAACUACGUGCCAGCAGCCGCGGUAACACGUAGGAGGCAAGCGUUAUCCGGAUUUACUGGGCGUAAAGCGCGUGCAGGUGGUUUGGUAAGUUGGAUGUGAAAUCUCCCGGCUCAACUGGGAGAGGUCGUUCAAAACUGCUAGACUUGAGGACGGUAGAGGAAGGUGGAAUUCCAGGUGUAGUGGUGAAAUGCGUAGAUAUCUGGAGGAACACCAGUGGCGAAAGCGGCCUUCUGGCCCGUGCCUGACACUAAGACGCGAAAGCUAGGGUAGC
rnacentral:rRNA from 1 species